AGUUGCAGCACACUGAAGCCCCCCCUUUUAUUCUCCUGCACACGCUCAAGACACUUUUUGAGCUGUCCAUCUCAGGACCAAGACGUCCCAUCUGCAGAUAGGACAGGAACAGGACAGGACAAGCACCCUAGACACCAAGCAGCAGCAGCACCACCGCAGACAUGUCGGACUCCGAGACCGCCGCCGCCCCCACCGAGGCCCCCGUCCCUGCUGCUUGUGCCCUUAUCAAGGCUGACCUGGACAAAUGUGUGGCAGAGAAGGGAGCAGAGGGCUGCAAAGAUCUGAUGGAGGCCUUUGCUGCUUGUGUGAAGAGUGCAGCUGAGGGGACGUCAUGAGGAGUCGCCAUCCAACCUCGAAUGUCCACUGCACUGAGUCCUCCAGGUUCCCAGCAUUCCCUUCUGCACAACAGCACUGGAUUGAAUGAUGACGAUGAUGAAGAUGAAUAAAAUGAUCAUGGGAUGAUAAAAGUGUUGAUUUGGGCUGAAUUUGGGAUGUUUUGGCAGUAACCCUCUGUCCCCUCCCCCCCUCCUGUUAUAGGCGUAUCUGGUGUCCCUCAGUCUUACCGACAUUCCCCUUCUCCCUAUGCGGCUGACAUGCAGUACAUUGACUUGUAGACAAUUCCAGAGAGCUGAGCUGUAAUGUUUAUUGUCGACUUGAGAUGAAUACUUAUAAAUGGAAAUAAAAAUAUCUGGUAUAAAAAACAGA